GCACCCGCGGUAAUUCCAGCUCCAAUAGCGUAUAUUAAAGUUGUUGCAGUUAAAAAGCUCGUAGUUGGAUUUCUGGGAGGGUGCCGAUGUCCACUUAACGUGUGCGCAGCGGCGCCCUCUCAUCCUUCUGUUAGCGUCUCUUGGCAUUCAUUUGCUGGUGGCGGGCUCAGAUAUUUUACCUUGAGAAAAUUAGAGUGUUUCAGGCAGGCUAGGCCGGAAUACAUUAGCAUGGAAUAAUGGAAUAGGACUACGGUCUCUUUGUUGGUUUGAGGGACUGCAGUAAUGAUUAAUAGGGAUAGUUGGGGGCAUUAGUACUUAACUGUCAGAGGUGGAAUUCUCAGAUUUGUUAAAGACUGACUUAUGCGAAAGCAUUUGCCAAGGAUGUUUUCAUCAAUCAAGAACGAAAGU
rnacentral:rRNA from 1 species